rnacentral:lncRNA from 1 species
UGGUUUCUGAUUCCGUUGAAGAAAGGUCGAUGAUGAGUUUUUUUGUUUUUGUUUUGAAAAUGCAAAAUGAUGCAUGGAUAUUUUUUAUUUAUGUUUGUUAAUGCAAAACUCUUAGUUAUUCGUGUGGUUUAUUGCGAGAAACAUUUAACAUUUAAACAUUGCAAUCAAGAAUAAAUAUGUACACAUAGAGUGAAUCGUAAAGAAGCUUCAUUCAUCCAUUGCAGGGAAAUAAGUACAAGUACAUAAAAGUUGCAAAUACAAGUUUUUUAAUUGAAAGAAAA